CUCGCUUCUCGGCCUUUUGGCUAAGAUCAAGUGUAGUAUCUGUUCUUAUCAGUUUAAUAUCUGAUACGUCCUCCAUAAGGGGACAGCAUAUUAAAUGGAUUUUUAGCACUGGGAGCCGAAAAAGGGGGCAGCCGUGGCCUAGAGGUUGGAGAAGCGGCUUGUGAUCGGAGGGUCACCGGUUCGAUUCCCCCACU